GUCCCUAUGGGUCCCUAUGGUCCCUAUGUGUCCCUAUGUGUCCCUAUGUGUCCCUAUGGUCCCUAUGUCCCUCUAUGUGUCCCUAUGUGUCCAUAUAUGUCCCUAUGUGUCCCUGUGGUCCCUAUGUGUCCCUAUAGGUCUCUAUGGUCCCUAUGUGCCCCUAUGUCCCACUAUGUCCCCCUGUGUCCCUCUAUGGGUCUCUAUGGUACCUAUGUGACCCUGUGUGUCCCUACAUGUCCCUACAUGUCCCUACAUGUCCCUAUGUGUCCUAUG
ensembl:lncRNA